rnacentral:lncRNA from 1 species
CUCCAUAGUUGUUCUUCUUUUGUGGUAUGUGUUUGUUAUCAUCAAAACCCAGCCAAAUCUAAAGAAGGAAACUUCUUCACAGUCUUCCCUUUUUUUAUGCUGACAAACCAUAUCUUCUUUUGAUAAUUUUGUGCAACAAGGCUCCCCCUAUCUUCUAUAUGUCCCCUUCACGUGAUGUCUUGGUUGGCUGAUUUACAUGAUUUAUGUAUUAAAAAAAAUAUGAAUAUUUAUGGUACCACGUUUAAUAAUAAUAUAAUUUUUUCCCUAUGAGUUAUUUAACAUCAAUAGUAAUAUAUAAUAUAAUUUAUUGAUCUUUAUUACAAUACAUAGGACCCGUUCGUUGCACGGGGCAAAAGUUUAGAGAUAACAAUAAUGUUAUAACUCAUAAGUUUGCAAACCUAAAAAAACCAAAUAAAAUAACAACAAAAUUCAUAGGAAUUUAACAAAACCAAUAAGACACUAAAAAAAUAAAGCUAUGCACAAGUCCUUGACUCCUCUGUCACAAUUGAUGCUCCACUUAUUACUUUCCAUGUCAAUUUGAAUAUAGUUUGCAAUCAAGUAUGUCUACAAUAAGACACAUAUAGAAGAUUUAGUACAUCUUAAAUUAUGUUAAAAGAAUAAGCCUUAAGUAUAUGAGCACACACAAAACAUUAUUCAACAUAUAAAGCAUCAAAACAUUUAUAACAAUACAGUAAUACUUAAUAUAACAUAUAUGUCCAUAUAAUUUUCAACAUGCAUUAUUAAAAAUCAUGUGGUGCAUUCUAAAUUAAAAAAAAAUAUAUAAAAUUAGAUGUUAAGAAUAUCUCAUGUGAAAAUUGUAGCACAACCCUUGAUUUCAAUAUCUUCACAGUGUGCAUUCCAAAUGAAAAGAUACUAUUAGGUGACAAUUCAAGGUAGUUGUACAAAGAAAUCCUUGAAAUAACGUCUGAAAGUGUAAUUUGAAUUAAUCAUUUACUCUUUUUAGUUCCAAACUGAAUUCUAUGUUUCUUAGAUGAUAUAUCAAAGACAUAGGUCAAAAUUAACCUUAAACAACUAUAUUUCUUACACAUAAAAACGAAGGUUAUUACAACACUUUGUAAACAUAAUCAGCAGGUUUCUACAACUAUCAAAUAAGUUGAAGGGUCAGAGAAAUAAAUGGAUUUGUGAAAGAAAUCAUAAGAAUAACAACAUUAUGAUAAAAAAAAAAAUCAUACCAUUAAAAAAUAACAUAGAAUAAUUUUAGUACCUACCUUUUAUUUGCACCAACAUUCAAGUAGAUUGCAAUCAAGAAUUUUAUCCUUGGGACAUGGUAUGCGUUGAAAAAACAUGUGAUAAUCAUGCUUUCCUGAAAUCUAAAAUGAAAACAAAACAAAGAAAUAUUGUGAAAUGAAAACAAAGAAAUAUUUCGAAAAGAGAAGAAAUGUUUUGCAUAGGAUAAAUACAAAAGAAUAGGACAAUGAGCUUACCACCAACAUUGAUAAUAACAAGAAAUAGAGAAACAAAAAGGGGCAAACAAACUUGAGAAUUCCAACCAUCUUUUCCA